CCUACGGGAGGCAGCAGUAGGNAUUUUCCGCAAUGGACGAAANUCUGACGGAGCAACGCCGCGUGAGUGAUGAAGGCUUUCGGGUCGUAAAACUCUGUUGUUAGGGAAGAACAAGUGCUAGUUGAAUAAGCUGGCACCUUGACGGUACCUAACCAGAAAGCCACGGCUAACUACGUGCCAGCAGCCGCGGUAAUACGUAGGUGGCAAGCGUUAUCCGGAAUUAUUGGGCGUAAAGCGCGCGCAGGUGGUUUCUUAAGUCUGAUGUGAAAGCCCACGGCUCAACCGUGGAGGGUCAUUGGAAACUGGGAGACUUGAGUGCAGAAGAGGAAAGUGGAAUUCCAUGUGUAGCGGUGAAAUGCGUAGAGAUAUGGAGGAACACCAGUGGCGAAGGCGACUUUCUGGUCUGUAACUGACACUGAGGCGCGAAAGCGUGGGGAGCAAACAGGAUUAGAUACCCUGGUAGUCCACGCCGUAAACGAUGAGUGCUAAGUGUUAGAGGGUUUCCGCCCUUUAGUGCUGAAGUUAACGCAUUAAGCACUCCGCCUGGGGAGUACGGCCGCAAGGCUGAAACUCAAAUGAAUUGACGGGG
rnacentral:rRNA from 1 species